UACGUAGGGGGCAAGCGUUGUCCGGAAUCAUUGGGCGUAAAGCGCGUGUAGGCGGCCCGGUAAGUCCGCUGUGAAAGUCCAGGGCUCAACCCUGGAAUGCCGGUGGAUACUGUCGGGCUCGAGUCCGGAAGAGGCGAGUGGAAUUCCUGGUGUAGCGGUGAAAUGCGCAGAUAUCAGGAGGAACACCAAUGGCGAAGGCAGCUCGCUGGACGGUACUGACGCUGAGACGCGAAAGCGUGGGAGCAAACAGG
rnacentral:rRNA from 1 species